AUUGUAAGAUUGGUAUGUGGCUGAAAAACUCAUAGAUUGGGUGUUGUCAUCAGCUUCUUCUCUUGUUCUUACGAGAUUGGAGUUAAAUAACAGCACUACAUUU